AAGUGCAGCACAGGCCUUUAGGCAUCUGGAGCGAAGCCCUGUCAUCCUCUGCAGAUAACUACUCUCCUUUUAAGAAACAGCUUUUGGCCUGCUACUAGGCCCUCGCUGAGACUUAACACUUAACCAUGGGUGAAAUCAAGUUCCCAUGUGAUCUGAGCUCCUGGUCAUGACCUGGGUGUUACCUGACCCACCACGCCAUAAAGAUGGGCAUACACUGCAGCAUUCCAUCAUCAAAUGGAGGUGGUAUUAUGACACGGGACCCGAACACAUCCUGAAGGCGCAAGUAAGUUCCAUGAAGAGGUAGCCCAAAUGCCCACAGUCGCUACCCCUGCCACACUAUCGGCUCUCUCCCAGCCGGCACCUACAGCUUCACGGGGAGUUCCCUCCAAUCAGACGACGGAGAAAGAACUCAAGCUUAGCUCACAGAUGGUUCUGCAUGACGUGCAGGCACCACUUGAAAGCAGACAGCUGCGGCACUACAGCUCCUUUCUGAGCGUCCCUGAAAGACGGAGUUUCUGGAUAUAUAAGCAAAAUAACGAAUACAAUGAAGAAGGACUACACCAUGAAAACAAGAUAAAUGACCCCAACUCUGCAGGUAAUUUCUUUCACUAGGCACAUUUUCUUUCUUAAUAACUUACACACAAGCAUGCUAUAAUUUAGCUUAAACUUUGGGCUGCAACAACUUUCUAAGUGUGGCACAGAGGUAAUUCAAUAAAUGAUUAAAGGGCAGAAUAUAUAUCAGACUUCGGGGAGUCAAAACAAACCUUCAUCUUCAUACCAUUUCAUAAAAAACUCUCCAACAGACUCUGGACUUGGAAACAGUGGACAGAUAAGGUUAUGAAUGAAACUCCGAUGUGGUAUAUGUAUGUAUGCAUGUAUAUGUGUGUGUAUCCUUAAAAAUAUGUAUCAGAAGACAAUGAAAACAAUAUCAA